UGAUCUAGCCAUGCCGCGUGAGUGAUGAAGGCCUUAGGGUCGUAAAGCUCUUUCGCCUGUGAUGAUAAUGACAGUAGCAGGUAAAGAAACCCCGGCUAACUCCGUGCCAGCAGCCGCGGUAAUACGGAGGGGGUUAGCGUUGUUCGGAAUUACUGGGCGUAAAGCGCGCGUAGGCGGAUUAGAAAGUUGGGGGUGAAAUCCCGGGGCUCAACCCCGGAACUGCCUCCAAAACUGCUAGUCUAGAGUUCGAGAGAGGUGAGUGGAAUUCCGAGUGUAGAGGUGAAAUUCGUAGAUAUUCGGAGGAACACCAGUGGCGAAGGCGGCUCACUGGCUCGAUACUGACGCUGAGGUGCGAAAGUGUGGGGAGCAAACAGGAUUAGAUACCCUGGUAGUCCACACCGUAAACGAUGAAUGCCAGUCGUCGGAUAGUAUACUAUUCGGUGACACACCUAACGGAUUAAGCAUUCCGCCUGGGGAGUACGGUCGCAAGAUUAAAACU
rnacentral:rRNA from 1 species